UACGGGGGGGGGCAAGCGUUGUUCGGAAUUACUGGGCGUAAAGCGUGCGUAGACGGUUGCGUAAGUCAGAUGUGAAAGCCCCGGGCUCAACCUGGGAAUUGCAUUUGAGACUGCGUAGCUAGGGUGCGGAAGAGGGAAGCGGAAUUUCCGGUGUAGCGGUGAAAUGCGUAGAUAUCGGAAGGAACACCAGUGGCGAAAGCGGCUUCCUGGUCCAGCACCGACGUCAGGCACGAAAGCGUGGGGAGCAAACAGG
rnacentral:rRNA from 1 species